rnacentral:sRNA from 1 species
AGGUAGAUGCACCCUGACGAUAUCUCAGCUCUCCGCCUUCGGGUGGGGAGCUUUUUUUU